rnacentral:rRNA from 1 species
UGAUCCAGCCAUGCCGCGUGAGUGAAGAAGGCCUUCNGGUUGUAAAGCUCUUUCAGCCGGGAAGAAAAUGCAUGGGUUAAUACCCUGUGCNGAUGACGGUACCGGAAUAAGAAGCACCGGCUAACUACGUGCCAGCAGCCGCGGUAAUA